AUGGCGCAGCAACUGCAGCUCUGGCCGCUUCCACUUUGGCACAGCGGACACGUUCAAGCAACAGCCCAGUCUUCGAAAAUUCCGGCAAAGAGCAGACUGCCAUUCCCAUGCAAAUGCAACUAUCUGUCCUCUAAGAAAUUGAUCUGUCAAAGAGGUUACACCUUAAAAACACUUGAGGAGACAAAGGAACAGCUCAGAUGUCUUUGCAAGGCAUACUACCAAGGUAAGUUUGAGCAGUAACUGCUAGACUGUCAAAGAAAGGGGCUUAGCUUAAAUCCCAAGAGCAGAAUUGUUAUUUUACUGUUGUGACACUUAAGGAGGUUUAUAUUAUUUUAUUGAUUAUUAUUAUAUUUAUUUCAAUGUGAUUAAUAAUGAAGACAGCAUAAAUGCACCUGUUUAAUUGUUUUAUGUUUUUACAGGAAAGCUGCAGAGCCACAGUCCUGACUUAAAGAAGUUGUGCAAGACUUGGUUUUAUAAGAUACCCAUUCCACUGCCACUGGUCUAAGUGUGUUUGUGUGUGCCUGAAUAUGGAUCGUGAAGAGGCUGGAGGCAGGUGGCCUCAGUACCCAUUAUGUCUCUGUAUUUACCCAUUGAUGUUUCGCUGUCAAACAGGCUGUAGGUCACUGGUAACAUUUGCAAGAUAGAAUCAGUUUUAUGAAAACUUUUUUAAAAUUUUUAAGACCAGUGUGCGAGCGAUAUAUGAAUAUAAUCAUUUCCUGUCUUCAAAAACUAUAGGUAGAACUUUUUGGCCUAUGGCAACCAAACUGUUGCAGGCAUAGGAAAUUUUUUUUACCUUAUUCUACUGUUGACAACAGCAGCAUGGAAUGAUGUGUUUUAAUUAGAGCAAUAAAAAAUAAUGUGGACCUCUAGGGAAAUUUUAG
rnacentral:lncRNA from 1 species